rnacentral:rRNA from 1 species
CAGGAUGUUGGCUUAGAAGCAGCCAUCAUUUAAAGAAAGCGUAAUAGCUCACUGGUCGAGUCGGCCUGCGCGGAAGAUGUAMCGGGGCUAAWCCAUGCACCGAAGCUGCGGCAGCGAACGUAUCACCCAAGACAACUUUACGGAGUUGACGAUUGACGGAGCGAAGCGACGUCAAAGCGUUCAUUAAAGUCGAGUUGGCUUAGGGAUACGUGCGUUGGGUAGGGGAGCGUUCUGUAAGCCUGUGAAGGUGUGUCGUGAGGCAUGCUGGAGGUAUCAGAAGUGCGAAUGCUGACAUAAGUAACGAUAAAGCGGGUGAAAAGCCCGCUCGCCGGAAGACCAAGGGUUCCUGUCCAACGUUAAUCGGGGCAGGGUGAGUCGACCCCUAAGGCGAGGCCGAAAGGCGUAGUCGAUGGGAAACGGGUUAAUAUUCCCGUACUUGGUGUUACUGCGAAGGGGGGACGGAGAAGGCUAUGUUGGCCGGGCGACGGUUGUCCCGGUUUAAGCGUGUAGGUGUGUGUUCCAGGUAAAUCCGGUUCACUUUAACACUGAGGCGUGACGACGAGGCACUACGGUGCUGAAGCAACAAAUGCCCUGCUUCCAGGAAAAGCCUCUAAGCAUCAGGUAACAUCAAAUCGUACCCCAAACCGACACAGGUGGUCAGGUAGAGAAUACCAAGGCGCUUGAGAGAACUCGGGUGAAGGAACUAGGCAAAAUGGUGCCGUAACUUCGGGAGAAGGCACGCUGACACGUAGGUGAAGUGAUUUACUCAUGGAGCUGAAGUCAGUCGAAGAUACCAGCUGGCUGCAACUGUUUAUUAAAAACACAGCACUGUGCAAACACGAAAGUGGACGUAUACGGUGUGACGCCUGCCCGGUGCCGGAAGGUUAAUUGAUGGGGUCAGCGUAAGCGAAGCUCCUGAUCGAAGCCCCGGUAAACGGCGGCCGUAACUAUAACGGUCCUAAGGUAGCGAAAUUCCUUGUCGGGUAAGUUCCGACCUGCACGAAUGGCGUAAUGAUGGCCAGGCUGUCUCCACCCGAGACUCAGUGAAAUUGAACUCGCUGUGAAGAUGCAGUGUACCCGCGGCAAGACGGAAAGACCCCGUGAACCUUUACUAUAGCUUGACACUGAACAUUGAGCCUUGAUGUGUAGGAUAG